rnacentral:lncRNA from 1 species
AAGGACAAAGGCAGGCUCAAUAGAGAAGGUGUUUAUUUUUCUUCUUGCACUCAUGAGAGCUCUCGUAGCUUCAGACCAAACGUUGAGUAACAUAAGGAAACUUUCAAAGAAUAAAUCCGCGGUAGGGAGGGCACAGCAAGGGGUCCGGGAAGGCCCUGAGGACCUCCUUCCUUUCUCCUAUGUCCCGUGAGGAGGCUGCUGGUGAGAGCCUUUAGGCAGAGAGGGGGGGGCAGAUAGAAGGGCUCGAGGGGAGGGAGGGGGAGGAGGGAGGCAGGAAGGACGGGAGUGAGGGCGGGGGGGGGGGCGGGCUCCAGUUCUUUCAAAGCCUUGUUACAUGUUCCUCGGGGGGCUCCAGGCGCCCAGAGCUCGGGCUUCGCCUCUUCCGGCCGGUUGGGGGGCCAGGGGGCAGGGCCAGCUCUGUCGCCGCUGUUGGAUUCGGCCGCUGCCUGGGAGGCUUGGGGGGCCUGGGCCAGGGCCUGGGAGCCUGCUCCGGAGAAUUCACCUUCGGUCCUGGCGAGCGUGGCCAGGAGCAGCUCGGGGAGGGCGCGGGAUCUUCGGUGUCUUCGCAUGUGGGGCCCGGCCUGCCGUCCUCGAUGAGGGUCAGGAAAGAAUGGACUGCGCCUCCCCGGCACGCUCACUCUCAUCCUCCCAUCUCCAGCCCCGAACAAGGCUGCAUGCUGGUUCUCUAAGUACGCCUGGGGCCAAUGGGCAUAGCCCAGAGCCCCAGGCCUAGCUCCAGGGAUCCCUUCCCCCCCUGCGGCCAAGGCUGUCGCCAGCAAGUCGGGGAUGGCCGGGACCACCCGAGGAUGCAACACUGGGGCAUGGCUCCCCCUACUUGAUGUCCCGCAGGGAUGGUUGCUACGGAUGCUCUCUGCCUGAAACUGGGGCAUUCUGGGCCGGGCCCCGGGAGGUGGCUGAGGUCCGGGUCUUCCAUCGGCUCUGCGCUGAGGAACCUGGCCAGGAGUCAGUUGGAAAAGCCUCAACAUAGCCACACAGGUGAGGGGACGUGGCAGGUUCUGGGGUCG